rnacentral:rRNA from 1 species
GUACCUACGGGACGCAGCAGUGGGGGAUAUUGCACAAUGGAGGAAACUCUGAUGCAGCGACGCCGCGUGAGGGAAGACGGUCUUCGGAUUGUAAACCUCUGUCUUUGGGAAAGAAAAUGACGGUACCUGCAGAGGAAGCCACGGCUAACUACGUGCCAGCAGCCGCGGUAAUACGUAGGUGGCAAGCGUUGUUCGGAAUAACUGGGCGUAAAGGAUGCGUAGGCGGUUAAACAAGUUAUAUGUUAAAUAUAUAGGCUUAACCUGUAGAAAGCAUAUAAAACUGUUUAACUAGAGUGCAGGAGAGG